AUUGAACGCUGGCGGCAGGCUUAACACAUGCAAGUCGAACGAAGCUGUUUUAACUGGUGCUUGCACCGACUUAAACAACUGAGUGGCGAACGGGUGAGUAACACGUGGGUAACCUGCCCCAAAGCGGGGGAUAACAUUUGGAAACAGAUGCUAAUACCGCAUAACCACAGAAACCACAUGGUUUCUGUGUCAAAGAUGGUUUCGGCUAUCACUUUGGGAUGGACCCGCGGCGUAUUAGCUAGUUGGUAAGGUAAUGGCUUACCAAGGCAAUGAGACGUAGCCGAACUGAGAGGGUGAUCGGCCACAUUGGGACUGAGACACGGCCCAAACUCCUACGGGAGUCAGCAGUAGGGAAUCUUCCACAAUGGACGAAAGUCUGAUGGAGCAACGCCGCGUUAGUGAAGAAGGUUUUCGGAUCGUAAAACUCUGUUGUCAGAGAAGAACGUGUGCGAGAGUAACUGUUCGUGCAGUGACGGUAUCUGGCCAGAAAGCCACGGCUAACUACGUGCCAGCCGCCGCCGUAA
rnacentral:rRNA from 1 species